UAUGGCCAUAUCAUGUUGAAACACCGGUUCUCAUACGAUCACCGGUUAAGCAAUGUUAAGGCAGGUCAGUACUAUGAUUGGUGACUGCGUGGGAAUAUC